AUGACAACUAUAUAAUUUCCAAACAUGGUGAGGAAGGGAGAGAAGAUGGGGACAUGGGAGAGAAAAUGGGGACAUGGAAGAGAAAUUCUCACCUUCAAUGAUGAGGAGUCAUUGUCUAAAGUUGACACAUGAAGAAAUGGAAGUGUGAGUGUGUUGUGUGUGGAUAUGGAGGAAACGGCCAGAAGAACCACAGCAAAAAGUAAUGAUAUCAAUACUACUGAGUGUUCACCAUGGACCAGGUGCUGUUCUAAGCUUGCUUUGAUUCUCUGAAUCCUUACAAGUCUUACAAGGUAGAUGCUUUAUCAUCAUCCCCAUUUUGUGGAUGAGGAAACCAAGGCACAGAGACGUUAACUGGCUCAAGGUUAGACAACCGGUAAGAGCGGUGGAUCCCCUGGGACAUCUGAAUCCCAGAGGCCUGCUCUUAAAAGUUUUCUGGACGAUGUAGCUGGGGUGGGUUGGGGGAUAAAGACCAUUUCUAUCUUUCUUUAUUCUUCGCUAUUCGUGAUUCCAUUUCCAUUUGCAUGAAUUACUUUGCUUAAACACAUGAACAAGUAAACAAUAAAGAGCAAUGAUUUUGG